GAUCAUGGCUCAGAUUGAACGCUGGCGGAAUGCUUUACACAUGCAAGUCGAACGGCAGCACGGACUUCGGUCUGGUGGCGAGUGGCGAACGGGUGAGUAAUAUAUCGGAACGUACCUUUCAGUGGGGGAUAACGUAGCGAAAGUUACGCUAAUACCGCAUAUUCUGUGAGCAGGAAAGCAGGGGAUCGCAAGGCCUCGCGCGAUUGGAGCGGCCGAUAUCAGAUUAGGUAGUUGGUGGGGUAAAGGCUCACCAAGCCAACGAUCCGUAGCUGGUCUGAGAGGACGACCAGCCACACUGGGACUGAGACACGGCCCAGACUCCUACGGGAGGCAGCAGUGGGGAAUUUUGGACAAUGGACGCAAGUCUGAUCCAGCCAUGCCGCGUGCGGGAAGAAGGCCUUCGGGUUGUAAACCGCUUUUGUCAGGGAAGAAAUCUUCUGAGUUAAUACCUCGGGAGGAUGACGGUACCUGAAGAAUAAGCACCGGCUAACUACGUG
rnacentral:rRNA from 1 species